ACUCUUUCAAAAAAAGAAAAUGAUUGUGUUUUAAUAUUUUGAAAAAUGUUUUUCGCCCAUCUGGCUGAUUUUCUUAGACCCACUCCGAAGCCCGCACAUGUCAUCUCCUGAAUAAUAUGGCUUUAUUCAUGUCUAAUGUGGUUGUUCAUUUUCAGGACAAUAAAGCUUACGAUUUGGAUGAUAAACCACUAAAACCAUCCUCUGAUGAUGAUUUUAAACAUUUGCUUUUUACUCUACCAGUUACAGUCAUCUCAGGAAAAGGAAAAAUCUUCUGGUUUGAAAAUUGAAAUGGGAAUUCAGAAUUAUUGAUCAAAAUGAUUCAGAAUAGAAUUAACUAUCCAUAGAAACAUUGAUUGAUUUCAAGGCUGAUCCGUAAAACUAUUUAACUUAUCAUGCUUGCGCUACAAGUAUAUCUUUCUACAGUAUAUCGAAAGGAAAAGAUUGUCUCAGCAUUGAAAGAUUUAAGUAGAGAUAUCAAAAUCAAGCUGGAUUUUGGAG